rnacentral:rRNA from 1 species
GAUGAACGCUGGCGGCGUGCCUAAUACAUGCAAGUCGAGCGAACGGACGAGAAGCUUGCUUCUCUGAUGUUAGCGGCGGACGGGUGAGUAACACGUGGAUAACCUACCUAUAAGACUGGGAUGACUUCGGGAAACCGGAUCUAAUACCGGAUAAUAUUUUGAACCGCAUGGUUCAAAAGUGAAAGACGGUCUUGCUGUCACUUAUAGAUGGAUCCGCGCUGCAUUAGCUAGUUGGUAAGGUAACGGCUUACCAAGGCAACGAUGCAUAGCCGACCUGAGAGGGUGAUCGGCCACACUGGAACUGAGACACGGUCCAGACUCCUACGGGAGGCAGCAGUAGGGAAUCUUGCGCAAUGGGCGAAAGCCUGACGGAGCAACGCCGCGUGAGUGAUGAAGGUCUUCGGAUCGUAAAACUCUGUUAUUAGGGAAGAAAAUAUGUGUAAGUAACUGUGCACAUCUUGACGGUACCUAAUCAGAAAGCCACGGCUAACUACGUG